GGAAGUGCAGCUUAAUGGUACAGCACGUGUCUAGAAUGCAUGAGGCCCUGGGUUCAACUUCUAGCACCA
rnacentral:tRNA from 1 species